UACAGGGGGGGCAAGCGUUGUUCGGAAUUACUGGGCGUAAAGGGCUCGUAGGCGGCCAACUAAGUCACACGUGAAAUCCCCAGGCUUAACCUGGGAACUGCGUGUGAUACUGGAUGGCUUGAAUCCGGGAGAGGGAUGCAGAAUUCCAGGUGUAGCGGUGGAAUGCGCAGAUAUCUGGAGGAACACCGGUGGCGAAGGCGGCAUCCUGGACCGGCAUUGACGCUGAGGCGCGAAAGCCAGGGGAGCAAACGGG
rnacentral:rRNA from 1 species